rnacentral:rRNA from 1 species
UACGAAGGGGGCUAGCGUUAAUCGGAAUUACUGGGCGUAAAGCGUGCGCAGGCGGUUUUGUAAGACAGAGGUGAAAUCCCCGGGCUCAACCUGGGAACUGCCUUUGUGACUGCAAGGCUUGAGUGCGGCAGAGGGGGAUGGAAUUCCGCGUGUAGCAGUGAAAUGCGUAGAUAUGCGGAGGAACACCGAUGGCGAAGGCAAUCCCCUGGGCCUGCACUGACGCUCAUGCACGAAAGCGUGAGGAGCAAACAGG